CCUACGGGGCGCAGCAGUCGAGAAUCAUUCACAAUGGGGGAAACCCUGAUGGUGCGACGCCGCGUGGGGGAAUGAAGGUCUUCGGAUUGUAAACCCCUGUCAUGUGGGAGCAAAUUAAAAAGAUAGUACCACAAGAGGAAGAGACGGCUAACUCUGUGCCAGCAGCCGCGGUAAUACAGAGGUCUCAAGCGUUGUUCGGAAUCACUGGGCGUAAAGCGUGCGUAGGCUGUUUCGUAAGUCGUGUGUGAAAGGCGCGGGCUCAACCCGCAGACGGCACAUGAUACUGCGAGACUAGAGUAAUGGAGGGGGAACCGGAAUUCUCGGUGUAGCAGUGAAAUGCGUAGAUAUCGAGAGGAACACUCGUGGCGAAGGCGGGUUCCUGGACAUUAACUGACGCUGAGGCACGAAGGCCAGGGGAGCAAACAGGAUUAGAUACCCGGGUAGUC
rnacentral:rRNA from 1 species